UACGAAGGGUGCAAGCGUUAAUCGGAAUUACUGGGCGUAAAGGGUGCGUAGGCGGUUAUUUAAGUCUGCCGUGAAAUCCCCGGGCUCAACCUGGGAACUGCAUUUGUGACUGCAUCGCUGGAGUGCGGCAGAGGGGGAUGGAAUUCCGCGUGUAGCAGUGAAAUGCGUAGAUAUGCGGAGGAACACCGAUGGCGAAGGCAAUCCCCUGGGCCUGCACUGACGCUCAUGCACGAAAGCGUGGGGAGCAAACAGG
rnacentral:rRNA from 1 species